GCCGAUGUGGUGGAACGUGGUAUACACGCCGUCUUGAGGAGGCGGUCUCGUCAGAGAUGUGGGUUCGACUCCCGCCAUCGGCAC
rnacentral:tRNA from 1 species